CAAAUUUUUUUGUUUGUUUACAUUUGAGCAACGAGAAUGAAUUCUGAGAAAAAGAUGUUAAUUGCGAAAGCAUUGGUUUUAAGAAGCCAAAUAAAUAUCCUGCUCAUCGACAAUUCUUCAAGAGAACUAUUGGAAUGUCUUACUACUCAGCACCAUGCCUUGGCAAAAAAGAUAGCCGAGUUAAAGAAACAACAUCUAAUCGUAUUAGAUUUAAAAAAGGACCUUGGGAUGCCGAUUAAUUCAUGUUGGACAAAACAAUGUAAGAAUCAGUUUUGGGAACACGAUUGCCAACGAAACGGAUCUGCUUUUUUUAAAGAGAACUUUCGCAUGAACCGAAGUUCCUUUGAUAAAUUAUGUGACAUCCUCCGCCCGUUACAAAAAAUGGAUACAAAUUACCGAAAAGCUAUUCCUAUCGAGAAAAGAGUGGCUAUAACAUUUUUUGCUUUAGGGUCAUCUGCAGAGUAUCGUAGUAUCGCCAACAUGUUCGGUGUAGGAAAAUCUACGGUUUGCGAAAUUUUACUGGAAUUUUGCACUGAAAUCUGGAGAUUACUGCAGCCAUCCUGUUUUAAAAUGUUGCCUCUAAACAGAGAAAAUAUAAUCGAAUUGGUGACUGGUUUCGAGGUAAUUGGAUUCCCAAAAUGCUUAGGAGCAAUUGACGGAUGCCACAUUGAGAUUCAUCCAUAAUCUGACGGAGCUGUUGAUUAUUAUAAUUAUAAAGGAUGGUAUUCCACCGUUUUAAUGCCAUUAGUUGAUGCUAAAAACCGUUUUACUUACAUAAACGUAGGAAGUCCCGGGCGAUGUAAUGACUCUCAAAUUUAUGAGACGUCAUCACUUAAAAAAGAAAUGGAUAGUUGUCCUUUACUAAGCGAAAUGUCUAGAGAAAUUUCAGGCGUAAAUGUGCCAGUAUUCAUUAUUGGGGAUUCGGCUUUUCGAUUUAGCAAACAACUAAUGAAACCGCAAUCAUUUAGCGUAAAUCAAAAUAAUGGUGAGAAGGUAUUCAACUACGCUCUUUCGAAAACACGUAGAGUUGUCGAAAAUGCUUUCGGACACCUCAAGGCCCGCUUUCGACGCAUCGGAAAAGGAAUUGACAACUCUGUAUGGAACUCCAUAAUAAAAGCAUGUUGCGUCCUUCACAAUUUUUUAAAUGAUAACAACGACUCGCUAAACGCUAAAUGGUUACGCGCUUUGGAAGAGUUGGAGACUAGACGCCAGAAUCCGGAGAAUUCCAGAGAAUCCAGAAUUAAUGGAGAAAUGAUUCGGACAGCACUUUGAACAAAUUGUGCAUCACCCGGCUCCGGAGACGGUACUGGUAGCGAAGAAGUAUCGCUUGGCGACAUCGGCAUAGCUGAGGGCGAUGGUAGGCAAACCGGUGAUGACAAUGGAGAUGCAGCAACGAAUGUAGAAAACGCAGCCGUUUCCACCGAAAUUUGGAGUGGUUCAGAG